UUUUUGUGAUGAAAUUUCAAAUUUAUUUAUAAGCAGCAAAAGAAUUGGCCUUUACAAAAGAGAAACAAUGGACUAAAUUCUAAUCAGUAUGGGAAAGGAAAAAAAAAGAAAGAAAAGAAAAUUCUAUGGUAUAUGUGUUCCUAUAACUCAUGAUAUAACUUCAAACCAUCUUCUCAUCAGUCCCUCCAACUUGCUUCCAUACGAAUAUCUCAAAGAUAAGAUUAUGUUUCUCAUGGUCUUAUCAAUCUGAUACGCCAACUUCUCCAUAGGUAUCCAAGCUUUCCCAUGUCUUCGAGUGUUCCUCUCCCUCCAAAUAUGGUAUACCGCCAUUUGAAAGACCAUGCGCAUCAGAACCUUGUCCAUCUUAUUGCCUCGAUCAUACUGAAUCCUCGUAACUGUGUCCUGUCAAUCCGGUGUGAUACGGUUGCCAAGGAGGCUACCCGUUGCUCGUACCCAAACCAUAAAGCUGUAUGGACAGG
rnacentral:lncRNA from 1 species